rnacentral:sRNA from 1 species
UUUCUGUAUUCGUGUGGAUGCUGUCCGCGCGAUUCCCAGCACUCCUCUUACAGCAUCUCACCUCAGUGUAUGUUCCUUGCCUCCAGUGCAGUUGAACCUCAGUCCUUCCUCUCCUCAUGUGUGCAUUCACCUUUCUUGGUGCUCUCUCCCCAUGGGCCAAGUUCUACCAUGAGUUAUGAAACAUUAUAGAGAAAAUAUGUCUUUGGAAAUGUGAGCCAGAAAGCCCACCGGUGCCCCUCAGUCACGGUUGUUAUGAAUGACAUGCUAAUGAUUUCACUCUGGUCAAACCUGCUUUCUCUUUCCUCUUCAGCCAACAGACCUCAGGAAAGAGGGGAUGAACUUGCAGACUCUGCGCUUGAAAUCUUCAAACAAGCAUCAGCGUUUUCCAGGGCUUCCCAGAGGUCUGUGCGACUAGCCCCUGUCUAUCAGAAGUUAUUAGAGAGGAUGAAGCAUUAGCAUGAAGGACUACAGGAGGGAUGCACCACGGCAGCUCCCCGCCAAUUUCUCUCAGAUUUCCACAGAGACUGUUUGAAUGUUUUGAAAACCAAGUAUCACACUUCAAUGUACAUGGGCCGCACCAUAAUGAGAUGUGAGCCUUGUACAGGUGGGGGAGGAGGGAGAGAGAUGUACUUUUUAAAUCGUGUUCCCCCUAAACAUGGCUGUUAACCCACUGCAUGCAGAAACUUGGAUGUCACUGCCUGACAUUCGCUUCCAGGGAGGACCUAUCCCAAAUGUGGAAUUGACUGCCUAUGCCAAGUCCCUGGAAAAGGAGCUUCAGUAUUGUGGGGCUCAUAAAACAUGAAUCAAGCAAUCCAGCCUCAUGGGAAGUCCUGGCACAAUUUUUGUAAAGCCCUUGCACAGCUGGAGAAAUGGCAUCAUUAUAAGCUAUGAGUUGAACUGUUCUGUCAAAUGUGUCUCGCAUCUACACAUGGCUUGGAGGCUUUUAUGGGGCCCUGUCCAGGUAGAAAAGAAAUGGUAUGUAGAGCAUGUAGAGCUCAGAUUUCCCUAUUGUGACGAGCCAUGGUGUGUUUGUAAUAAUAA